rnacentral:rRNA from 1 species
CAAGAGCGUAUGUAAAAGUUAUUGCAGUUAAAAAGCUCGUAGUUGAACCUUGGGUUUGGUUGGCCGGUCCGCUUUUUUGCGAGUACUGGAUUCAACCGAGCCUUUCCUUCUGGCUAACCAGUCGUUUCGGCGGCUGGCGAACCAGGAUUUUUACUUUGAGAAAAUUAGAGUGUUCAAAGCAGGCAUUAGCUUGAAUAUAUUAGCAUGGAAUAAUAGAAUAGGACGUUAUGGUUCUAUUUUGUUGGUUUCUAGGACCAUCGUAAUGAUUAAUAGGGACGGUCGGGGGCAUCAGUAUUCAGUUGUCAGAGGUGAAAUUCUUGGAUUUACUGAAGACUAACUACUGCGAAAGCAUUUGCCAAGGACGUUUUCAUUAA